UACGUAGGGGGCAAGCGUUGUUCGGAAUUACUGGGCGUAAAGGGCGCGUAGGCGGCAUGGCAAGUCAGGAGUGAAAGGCCUGGGCUCGACCGAGGAACUGCUUUUGAUACUGCCAAGCUAGAGUGCGGAAGGGGCAACUGGAAUUCCCAGUGUAGCGGUGAAAUGCGUAGAUAUUGGGAAGAACACCUGAGGCGAAGGCGGGUUGCUGGGCCGACACUGACGCUGAGGAGCGAAAGCCAGGGGAGCAAACGGG
rnacentral:rRNA from 1 species